rnacentral:rRNA from 1 species
UACAUGGGGUGCAAACGUUGCUCGGAAUUAUUGGGCGUAAAGCGCACGUAGGCGGUUUGUUAAGUCGGAUGUGAAAUCCCUCGGCUCAACUGAGGAAGUGCAUCCGAAACUGGCAAGCUUGAGUACGAAAGAGGGUCGCGGAAUUCCCGGUGUAGAGGUGAAAUUCGUAGAUAUCGGGAGGAACACCGGUGGCGAAGGCGGCGACCUGGGUCGAUACUGACGCUGGGGUGCGAAAGCGUGGGGAGCAAACAGG